rnacentral:rRNA from 1 species
CAACUUUCAACAACGGAUCUCUUGGCUCUCGCAUCGAUGAAGGACGCAGCGAAAUGCGAUACGUAAUGUGAAUUGCAGAAUUCAGUGAAUCAUCGAAUCUUUGAACGCACCUUGCGCCCCUUGGUAUUCYGAAGGGCACACCCGUUUG